UACGGAGGAUGCAAGCGUUAUCCGGAAUGAUUGGGCGUAAAGCGUCCGCAGGUGGCUGUGUAAGUCUGCUGUCAAAGAGCGAAGCUCAACUUCGUAAAGGCAGUGGAAACUACACGGCUAGAGUGCGUUCGGGGCAGAGGGAAUUCCUGGUGUAGCGGUGAAAUGCGUUGAUAUCGACAGGAACGCCGGUGGCGAAAGCGGACCGCUGGCCCUCUUCUGACGCUGAGGCGCGAAAGCCAGGGGAGCGAACGGG
rnacentral:rRNA from 1 species